rnacentral:misc_RNA from 1 species
ACAUGAUAUGAUGCCCACCCUGGGAGGGUGGACUCACAUCGAAACCCCAUCUGUGUACCGUUCCCUGUUGCUUCCGUGAGGGCAGUGACUCACGUCACCUCGCUUGGCGGUGGUCAACACCAUUGAGCGGGAGUCCCCACGGGAGGUACACGAUAAAAUACUUGCAUCGCCAUGCUCUCAGUCUGUACAUAAUUGAAAACGAUUA